rnacentral:rRNA from 1 species
GACGAACGCUGGCGGCGUGCUUAACACAUGCAAGUCGAACGGAAAGGCCCUGCUUUUGUGGGGUGCUCGAGUGGCGAACGGGUGAGUAAAACGUGAGUAACCUGCCCUUGACUUUGGGAUAACUUCAGGAAACUGGGGCUAAUACCGGAUAGGAGCUCCUGCUGCAUGGUGUGGGUUGGAAAGUUUCGGCGGUUGGGGAUGGACUCGCGGCUUAUCAGCUUGUUGGUGGGGUAGUGGCUUACCAAGGCUUUGCCGGGUAGCCGGCCUGAGAGGGUGACCGGCACGAUUGGGACUGAGAUGCGGGCCAGACGCCGACGGGAGGGAGCAGUGGGGAAUAGUGCGCAAUGGGCGGAAGGCUGAUGCAGCAACGGCGCGUGCGGGAUGACGGCCUUCGGGUUGUAAACCGCGUUCGCCUGUGACGAAGGGUGAGUGACGGUAAUGGGUAAAGAAGCACCGGCUAACUACGUG